ACAGGUGGUGCAUGGUUGUCGUCAGCUCGUGUCGUGAGAUGUUGGGUUAAGUCCCGCAACGAGCGCAACCCUUGUCUUUAGUUGCCAUCAUUAAGUUGGGCACUCUAGAGAGACUGCCAGGGAUAACCUGGAGGAAGGUGGGGAUGACGUCAAAUCAUCAUGCCCCUUAUGCUUAGGGCUACACACGUGCUACAAUGGGUAGUACAGAGGGUUGCCAAGCCGUAAGGUGGAGCUAAUCCCUUAAAGCUACUCUCAGUUCGGAUUGUAGGCUGAAACUCGCCUACAUGAAGCUGGAGUUACUAGUAAUCGCAGAUCAGAAUGCUGCGGUGAAUGCGUUCCCGGGUCUUGUACACACCGCCCGUCACACCACGGGAGUUGGAGACGCCCGAAGCCGAUUAUCUAACCUUUUGGAAGAAGUCGUCGAAGG
rnacentral:rRNA from 1 species